GAUGAACGCUGGCGGCGUGCUUAACACAUGCAAGUCGAACGGAAAGGCCCAAGCUUGCUUGGGUACUCGAGUGGCGAACGGGUGAGUAACACGUGGGUGAUCUGCCCUGCACUUCGGGGUAAGCCUGGGAAACUGGGUCUAAUACCGGAUAGGACCACUUCUUGGAUGUUGUGGUGGAAAGUUUUUUCGGUGUGGGAUGAGCUCGCGGCCUAUCAGCUUGUUGGUGGGGUAAUGGCCUACCAAGGCGUCGACGGGUAGCCGGCCUGAGAGGGUGUACGGCCACAUUGGGACUGAGAUACGGCCCAGCCUCCUACGGGAGGCAGCAGUGGGGAAUCUUGCCCAAUGAGCGCAAGCCUGAUGCAGCGACGCCGCGGGGGGGAUGACGGCCUUCGGGUUGUAAACUCCUUUCGCUAGGGACGAAGCGUUUUGUGACGGUACCUGGAGAAGAAGCACCGGCUAACUACGUG
rnacentral:rRNA from 1 species